rnacentral:tRNA from 1 species
GCGGACGUGGUGGAAUGGUAGACACACUACCUUGAGGUGGUAGCGCACUACGUGUGUGGGGGUUCAAAUCCCCCCGUCCGCACCA